GAAAAGAAAAGAAAAGAAAAGAUUAUCAUUGUGUUUACUUGUUCUCCAACUUUCUUGUAAUGCGAACAUAAUAAAGUAGUGUGUGAAGCUGUGAACGUGUAGAACACGUUUGGAACAUGGAAGGAGGCAAAGGGUUUUCCUUACUCUAGAGGUAAUGAUAUGAACUGUUAUGAACCAUCACGAGUACAGGGAUUGCCUCAAUUUUAGAUUUUUU
rnacentral:misc_RNA from 1 species